CGGCGCCGCGUGAUUGAUGAAGUCCCUUUGGGACGUAAAGAUCUUUUAUGAGGGAAGAAGUUUACUGACUGUACCUCAUGAAUAAGAGGCUCCUAAUCUCGUGCCAGCAGGAGCGGUAAUACGAGAGCCUCGAGCGUUAUCCGGAAUUAUUGGGCGUAAAGGGUGCGUAGGUGGUUCUGUUAGUCUUUUAUUAAAGCCCCGAGCUUAACUUGGGAUAUGUAAAAGAAACGGCAGAACUAGAAAGUGCGAGGGGUGUACGGAACUCAUGGUGUAGGGGUGAAAUCCGUUGAUAUCAUGGGGAACACCAAAAGCGAAAGCAGUACACUGGCGCAUAUUUGACACUGAAGCACGAAAGCGUGGGUAGCGAAUGGGAUUAGAUACCCCAGUAGUCCACGCCCUAAACGAUGAUUUCUCGCUAUUCGGAGUAUCGACCCUCUGAGUGGCUAAGCUAACGCGUUAAGAAAUCCGCCUGGGAAGUACGGCCGCAAGGCUAAAACUCAAAGGAAUAGACGGGGACUUGCACAAGCAGUGGAUUAUGUGGUUUAAUUCGAUGGUAAACGAAGAACCUUACCAGGGUUAGAAAUCAACGUGAAAGCUCCAAGAAACUGGAGCCCUCGCAAGACUAGUUGACAGGUGUUGCAUGGCCGUCGUCAGUUCGUGGUUUGAAUUGUACCCUUAAGUGGGCUAACGAACGCAACCCUCGUUGUGUGUUACAAGUGUCACACGAUACUGCCCCCGCCUUUGUUCAUGAAAAUUAUUUUCGUGGAUUGGGGCGGGGGAGGAAGGAGAGGAUGACGCCAGGUCAGCAUGACCCUUGAUACCCUGGGCUACACACAUAAUACAAUGACCGUUACAACGCGCAGCGACGAGGCGACUCUGAGCUAAUCGUUUAAAAGCGGCCUCAGUUCGGAUUGAAGUCUGCAACUCGACUUCAUGAAGCUGGAAUCGCUAGUA
rnacentral:rRNA from 1 species